UUAACCAAAUCGAAUCACUACAUAAUUAAAAUAAAAGCACAUAAGUCUUUGAAUCACUACAUAAUUAAAAAAAAAAGUACAUAAGUCCUUGAAUCACUACAUAAUUAAAAACAUUACAUAAAAAUGAAAAAUAAAAAUUGAAAGGCGACAGACAACUAUUUUUCUCUUCUUUUAAGUUCAAUAAUCUUUUUAUGAUUUUGGAUUGUACCUAAAAUUAAUGGGCAGUAUUGACCCAAAAUCAUAUUAAUUAAAAAUAUAAAAAGGCAUAAGAUAUGGGGCCAAUGGGCAGUAUUGAUGAAAGAAAUUUAGGACUUGUAAAGAUCUCCUGGUAGAUUGAAUAAACAUAUCUCAAUCUUCCAUUUCUGCUCCCCAACUAUUGGAAGCUUUGUGUCUAUCUCUAUUCUGCAGGGAAAUGAUAAACCACAUCCAAGAGACAAUUAAGUCGUUGCCUAACAUAAGCUUAACUUGGUUGUCAUGAUUGAUGAAAUGGAAGCUUUUGCCAAUAAUUUAGGAUGCAUUUCAGUGGUAUGCUAAAACCCAGAUAUCAAAUUCAUGAAGUAAAAGGUAGAAGAAACUAGUAUAGGAAGCCAUUGAGAUUUCAAACCUUAAACAAGGAAGGGUAUUGUAACUUAAAUUUACUCUAUUAUAAUAAUAGGGUGGAACAAGGGUAGCACUUGGUCUUUCCCGACCCUUCUCAUCAGGCCAAACAAAAAGCAAGCACCGGCUUCUGGACCUUGAGAUGCAGCCUAAGGAAUCCUAGACUCCUAGUGCAAGAUCCACAUCCAUCAAAACACCAUCCCUGAAAUCAACAUUGCAACUGCCCAUUUUCAUCUAUCAGCCCUUCCUACCAUUUCCAGAGAAACAAAUCAAAACCCAUAUUUCUGAAAACACACUAACUUUCUCCUUCUUUUUAGCUCAAGCAAACAGGCAGGGAAGUUCGAACACAAAAUUAACCCUAAAGCGGCCACUGAAGAGGUGCCCUUCAGCAGUAUUUAGAAUUAAACCUUAAAAAUGCACUACUCACGGUAACAUACAAUCGCAAACACCUGAGUAUGGCCUCAAAAUUUUCAUCAUCAUUUGCAGAUACUGGAUAGGUUCGAAGUUCGAACAGCACACACAAGUAUUCAUCGUGCAAACAAUGUGUUGUUCUUCUUUGACCACCGUAGCUUUAGAGCAUGGGUGUUGAGGGUCUAGGCUAAAGCUUUUCACACCCAAACCCAUUGAAAAUGUGGGAGAGAAUCUCGCUCAUAUUAUUAGUUUAAUCGACUUAAGAAACCAUACUAAUGUCGACUUAAGAAAUUGGAAAAAAAAACAAAGGGAAAUUAGAAGAAAGCAAACCUGGCCUCUGGGUAUUGGUGUGCUGGAAGAGAAAUGGAUAGCAAAAUGGUGAAUUUUCCCGAUUUGACUGAAAAUCUGAGAUUGAGAUUGAGAAAUGAGAACCCGACGAUGGCUGAUUUGUGACUUUGUGUUGCUGCCUGUUACCAGUACUGCUGAGUGCUGGGUGCUGAGUGCUCUUGAGAAAAGGUUUGGUUCUUGGGCUUGGAGC
rnacentral:lncRNA from 1 species